GACGAACGCUGGCGGCGUGCUUAACACAUGCAAGUCGAACGGUAAGGCUCCAGCUUGCUGGGGUACACGAGUGGCGAACGGGUGAGUAACACGUGGGUGACCUGCCCUGCACUUCGGGAUAAGCCUGGGAAACUGGGUCUAAUACCGGAUAGGACCAUGGUGUGGAUACUGUGGUGGAAAGUUUUUUCGGUGUGGGAUGGGCCCGCGGCCUAUCAGCUUGUUGGUGGGGUAAUGGCCUACCAAGGCGGCGACGGGUAGCCGGCCUGAGAGGGUGGACGGCCACAUUGGGACUGAGACACGGCCCAGACUCCUACGGGAGGCAGCAAUGGGGAAUAUUGCACAAUGGGCGGAAGCCUGAUGCAGCGACGCCGCGUGGGGGAUGACGGCCUUCGGGUUGUAAACUCCUUUCACCAUCGACGAAGGGUUUCUGACGGUAGAUGGAGAAGAAGCACCGGCUAACUACGUG
rnacentral:rRNA from 1 species